CUCAUACCACUCAUCCACUCACUGGGCCGGUAUUUCUAAGUCCAGCCAGUGUUCUGGGCACUGGAGUGCGCCCAGCGAACCAAAGGACAAAGGGCUCUGCCCUCAAAGAGCUGAUGCUCCGGUGGAGAAAAACGACAAAAUUAACCAGCAGAUGACAGACCACAUGAGAACGUGCUGCAGGAAAAAGAUCGUGGUGGAGGGAUCGGGAGGGCAGGGACAGGGGUGUUGGCCAGGUGCAAUUUCCAACAGUCAGGAAAUUCUCCCUGGAAAACUGUCAGCCAAGAGAGACUGCUGGAGGCCAGGAAGUGCAUGAGGUCCCAAGUGUUGCUAUUGCAAAGCACGGCAAGCUCCGUGGGCUUAAGACAACACACCGUCCUACUGUUCUGUGGGCCAGAAGUCUCCAUGUGCUAAAGCCAAGGUGUUGGCAGGGCUGGUUUCUUCUGGAGGCUCUGGGGGGGAGAGAAUCCAGGCGAGAGUCCAUUUCCUUGCCCUUUCCAGCUUCUAGAGGCACCCACAUUCCUUGGCUGGUGGCCCCUUCCUCCCCCUUCAAAGCCAGCAGCAGAGAGCACCAUGUUGUCUCUGGCUCUGACCCCGACCUCCCUGCCUGUGAUUACACUUGGCCCACGUGGCCGUGUUCGGCUGCCCAGGUGCAGGCGGUGGGCUGGGUGCAGCCACGUGACAGGUCCUGCCGAGAGAUGAUGAUGAAGGCAACAUCAAGCCCAGGAGGCUCGGCCCUGAGUUUGCCGCCAGGUGAGGGUACGCUUGGGUGGGAGGGCGGAGACGGGGAGGGUGGAAAGAUCAUUGAGGGAUCAUCAGGACCGG
rnacentral:lncRNA from 1 species